GAUGAACGCUAGCGGCAGGCCUAAUACAUGCAAGUCGAACGGGAUUGAGGAGCUUGCUCCUCAUGAGAGUGGCGCACGGGUGCGUAACACGUAUGUAACCUACCUUAAUCAGGGGGAUAGCCUCUCGAAAGAGAGAUUAACACCGCAUAAAAUCACACUAUGGCAUCAUAGAAUGAUCAAAUAUUUAUAGGAUUAAGAUGGGCAUGCGGAAGAUUAGCUAGUCGGUAAGGUAACGGCUUACCAAGGCUACGAUGUUUAGGGGAUCUGAGAGGAUGGCCCCCCACACUGGUACUGAGACACGGACCAGACUCCUACGGGAGGCAGCAGUAAGGAAUAUUGGUCAAUGGACGCAAGUCUGAACCAGCCAUGCCGCGUGCAGGAAGACGGCCCUACGGGUUGUAAACUGCUUUUAUACCGGAAUAAACCUUUCUACGUGUAGAGAGCUGAAUGUACGGUAAGAAUAAGGAUCGGCUAGCUCCGUGCCAGCCGCCGCGGUAA
rnacentral:rRNA from 1 species